rnacentral:rRNA from 1 species
UGGGGAAUUUUGGACAAUGGGCGCAAGCCUGAUCCAGCCAUGCCGCGUGCGGGAAGAAGGCCUUCGGGUUGUAAACCGCUUUUGUCAGGGAAGAAAUCUUCUGAGUUAAUACCUCGGGAGGAUGACGGUACCUGAAGAAUAAGCACCGGCUAACUACGUGCCAGCAGCCGCGGUAAUACGUAGGGUGCAAGCGUUAAUCGGAAUUACUGGGCGUAAAGCGUGCGCAGGCGGUUUUGUAAGACAGAGGUGAAAUCCCCGGGCUCAACCUGGGAACUGCCUUUGUGACUGCAAGGCUUGAGUGCGGCAGAGGGGGAUGGAAUUCCGCGUGUAGCAGUGAAAUGCGUAGAUAUGCGGAGGAACACCGAUGGCGAAGGCAAUCCCCUGGGCCUGCACUGACGCUCAUGCACGAAAGCGUGGGGAGCAAACAGGAUUAGAUACCCUGGUAGUCCACGCCCUAAACGAUGUCAACUGGUUGUUGGGAAGGUUCCUUCUCAGUAACGUAGCUAACGCGUGAAGUUGACCGCCUGGGGAGUACGGCCGCAAGGUUGAAACUCAAAUGAAUUGACGGGG